GAUGAACGCUAGCGGCAGGCCUAACACAUGCAAGUCGAGGGGUAGUUACUUUCGGGUAAUGAGACCGGCGCACGGGUGCGUAACGCGUAUGCAAUCUACCUUUUACAGGGGAAUAGCCCAGAGAAAUUUGGAUUAAUGCCCCAUAGUAUGUAUGAAUCGCAUGGUUUAUACAUUAAAGUUCCAACGGUAAAAGAUGAGCAUGCGUCCCAUUAGUUAGUUGGUAAGGUAACGGCUUACCAAGACGAUGAUGGGUAGGGUUCUGAGAGGGAGAUCCCCCCACACUGGUACUGAGACACGGACCAGACUCCUACGGGAGGCAGCAGUGAGGAAUAUUGGACAAUGGGCGCAAGCCUGAUCCAGCCAUGCCGCGUGCAGGAUGACGGUCCUAUGGAUUGUAAACUGCUUUUAUACAGGAAGAAACACUCCGACGUGUCGGAGCUUGACGGUACUGUAAGAAUAAGGNUCGGCUAACUCCGUGCCAAGCAGCCGCGGUAAUGU
rnacentral:rRNA from 1 species